AGGAUGCACCGGGCUCUAAUGUCCACCCGUCCCAGCAAAUCCAGGAGAAAAGGCCUCUAUCUAGUCAUUUAAGGCAACCACCACAGGAGUGAAGAUGAGGAUCCUCUCCUGAAGCCAGACGUGCCUGGAUCCUCUAUGCCAGCUCCCAGGAGAGUAGAACGCAGAAGGUUGUCAUGGAGCUGAUGUCACCCUGUCAUAUGCCCAGCCUCUGCAGCUCUCCCCGCAAGACAGUGGUCCUCUGGAGGGUCUAGAGCAUCUUAAGAGUAUAGCACCAGCAUCGUCUUGGCUUCUACCGAGAGCCUAGUGGAAGAAGAGCACAGAGGGAUGUACAGACAGAAGAGGAGACCCAAGGCCUAAAACAUCUAACUUAUUCUUACAAGAGUCUCCCUUGGACCUACUUCCAGUUGAGUGUGGAGCAGAAGGCAACAGUGUGGGAGAUCUCUGAGGAGCUGAAACUCCACCCGUAUUUCAUUGGCCAAAACUCAUGGCCCCACCAACCGGAGAGGAAGGAAGUAGAUGGCAUUCACACACCAGGAAGAACAACCAGUCUUUGCUGUGACCACACCAGACUGGUCUUUAACACUUCCUCCUGUGCACAGACUGCAGGUUACCCAACGGAACCUUCUUUCAGCUGAUCUCUCUUGGGAUCAUGAAUCCAUGGAGAAUUCACCCUUUCAUUGAGAAUGCUGUCUCUCCUCUGGUCUCUCAAUCUCUAUUGACUCAAAUCCAAAUCCCUCCCCUUUUUAUAGAUCAGUCAAGUUGAUUUUUACAGUUUGCCUGACUCUGGUCCCAGGAGUCUUUAUCCCAGGGGACUUCUUGUCCACUCCAUCGUAGCUCAGCCCUUUCUCUGGAUACGAUAGUCUGGCUGUACCAAGAGGAAAAGUUCACACUUAGUAACAACAUAGAAAGCUGUUUUGAAUUACUGGACAUUUGCUAUUUCAAUGAAAGUAGGGUUUGAAGGGGAACCAGUUAGCCGGCUAACUUAGAAUGGAGUAGAAGGAACACAGAGUGGGGGUGAGGUGGGGACGGGAGGGCGGACAUGAGGAAUCUAUAGCUAUAAUCCAGGAGAGACUGUCAAGAGCCUGAACUAGACCUGAAGAUGAAGCACAGAAAGAGGAGGAGGUGCUAAAGAGAUGUUUCGUGAUGGGAGCCCAUGCCAGGAGGCACCUGUUGCUUUAGAUGGAGGCAGAAAGAGGGCAGAGAGAGGUGAAUCCCUUGUUUCCAGCCCUGGGGCAGUAGCGUACUUCCAGUGCGUCUGAUUACCUCAGCCCACCUGCCAGCCCCUGUGCUCAGCUCCACCAAGUCUGGCCUUUCCAAUCUACUUGCAAGGAAUGUGGAGUUACAUUUAAUUAAAAGUAUCUACACAGAAA